AGAAACUUAGGAUCAUUUAAAACCGAAGGCCUUCAAAGCCUUAAAAAAGAGUUAAACUCUCUUAGUUUCUG
rnacentral:tRNA from 1 species